AGAGAGAGAGAGAGGGAGAGGAGAGAACGUGAGAGAGAUAGGGAAAAGGAAAGAGACAAAGAUAGAAGGAAGCGACGGGAAGUUGUUAGCGACUAUAGUGAUGAAGACUCUACGGACCAUGGUAGGAAGCGGCGUAGGAGAGAUGAUGAUGACCAUAGAGCUCACGAAAGUAAUAGCAGGAUGAAUAAGCAGAGAGAUCACAUUGAAGAGAGUCCACGAGAAAAGAGUGAAGAAGAUGCAUCUGAUAAGAAUGAAACAAAACCAACUCGUGAAGAGGAGCUGGAAAAUGAACAGAGGAGGUUGGAUGAAGAAAUGGAAAAACGAAGGCGAAGAGUUCAGGAGUGGCAAAAGUCACGAAGGUUGAAAGAAGAAGCUGAUGGAGACAA
rnacentral:misc_RNA from 1 species